GCCCUCGUAGCUCAAUGGAUAGAGCAACCGCCUCCUAAGCGGUAGAUUCAGGUUCGAGUCCUGGCGGGGGCA
rnacentral:tRNA from 1 species